UACAGAGGGUGCAAGCGUUGUUCGGAAUUAUUGGGCGUAAAGCGCGUGUAGGCGGCUUUGCAAGUCGGGUGUGAAAGCCCACGGCUCAACCGUGGAAGUGCAUCCGAAAACUGCAUGGCUUGAGUCUCGGAGAGGAAGGUGGAAUGCUUGGUGUAGAGGUGAAAUUCGUAGAUAUCAAGCAGAACACCUGCGGCGAAGGCGGCCUUCUGGACGAUGACUGACGCUGAGGAGCGAAAGCGUGGGGAGCGAACAGG
rnacentral:rRNA from 1 species